AAGGCCGUUUUGAAGCCCAACUGUGGCCCACAACUCCGCCCUGCCUCAGCCAGACCACCAGAUCGGCCAGGUGGAUCUUAGCCGACCAGAUCUUAGCUCGAAUCUGAAGAAAACCAAGCUGUAUGAGGCCUCGACGGCGGGGUUGAUGCAAGCACAUAAACGGAGCAGGGCGUGGUGUCUAUGAUGAGCUUCCAUCUGCGUCGCAAAAAGGGACUGGACCAAACCCUGGCGGCCAAGCUUACACCAGAGGAGUACGUCAAGGAUACUCAUGCCGUGCCCGGGCUGCCGGAGCUGCUGGAUCCUGCAUUCCCAACAAGACACGUCUGGACAGAGUAUGCGCCACUACGGCAGUGCAAGGGCAUCCGCCACUUGCAGGCUUUGUACGUGUCCCACCUGCACGCGGAUCAUCACAUUGGAUUGAUUGGACUGCUGAAGGAGCGCAGACAGCUGGCCCCGAAGGAAACUCGCUGCUCUUACUUGCGCCGCGGAAGAUCGAGCCAUGGAUGGAGUUCUAACACGGAUAGCUCUUGGCGAGACUCCUGACUGGAGAGGCAGUGGCACCAUUGGGCAUAACUGCCGCCACUGCCAAGUCACCAGUAGGAACUGCCAAGCCGCCAGUACGAACAGCUGCUUAAAAUCUUGCGAGACGCUUGGCGAUGCUGUGGAUGAUCGAGUUCAGCCCAACAAUCAACAGUUACGGAAUGAGAGGAGCAGCAGCAGGGCAAGAAGGAUGCCGAUCAGGAUUUCUACUAAAACCAGGACAGUUCGGCCAACUCGUUGCAGUCCUCGGUGGGCAUUGAUGACUAUUGGGAUGAGGCUCUGGUCGGCGACUAUGGAAGCACUCAGAAUGAUGACAGCGAUGACUUGGACGGGCACAACAACUAGCCACCUAUCGAUGGGCAGCAAGGAAAAGAACCCGGCCGCAACGAGUUGCGUUACUAUUGGCGAUCAAGAGAUCAUGGACUGCAAAGAACAAUUCGACAAGCAGCGGCAGGCAACAUUACUUGGACCGAGCAGGGCAGUAAAUGUAAAAGUUGUACAGCACUAUCUUAAAAGCGUGCUCCGGCGGUCUUAAGCCUUCUGCACCAUGUUUUACAUCAUCGGUUUCGACCGGGAGCGCAGACAGCUGGCCCCGAAGGAAACUCGUUGCUCUUACUUGCGCCGCGGCAGAUCGAGCCAUGGAUGGAGUUCUAACACGGAUAGCUCUUGGCGAGACUCCUGACUGCAGAGGCAGUGGCACCAUUGGGCAUAACUGCCGCCACUGCCAAGUCACCAGUAGGAACUGCCAAGCCGCCAGUGCGAACAGCUGCUUAAAAUCUUGCGAGACGCUUGGCGAUGCUGUGGAUGAUCGAGUUCAGCCCAACAAUCAACAGUUACGGAAUGAGAGGAGCAGCAGCAGGGCAAGAAGGAUGCCGAUCAGGAUUUGUACUAAAACCAGGACAGUUCGGCUAACUCGUCGCAGUCCUCGGUGGGCAUUGAUGACUAUUUGGAUGAGGCUCUGGUCGACGACUAUGGAAGCACUCAGAAUGAUGACAGCGAUGACUUGGAUGGGCACAACAACUAGCCACCUAUCGAUGGGCAGCAAGGAAAAGAACACGGCCGCAACGAGUUGCGUUACUAUUGGCGAUCAAGAGAUCAUAGACUGCAAAGAACAAUUCGACAAGCAGCGGCAGGCAACAAUACUUGGGCCGAGCAGGGCAGUAAAUGUAAAAGUUGUACAGCACUAUCUUAAAAGCGUGCUCCGGCGGUCUUAAGCCUUCUGCACCAUGUUUUACAUCAUCGGUUUCGACCGGGAGCGCAGACAGCUGGCCCCGAAGGAAACUCGCUGCUCUUACUUGCGCCGCGGCAGAUCGAGCCAUGGAUGGAGUUCUAACACGGAUAGCUCUUGGCGAGACUCCUGACUGCAGAGGCAGUGGCACCAUUGGGCAUAACUGCCGCCACUGCCAAGUCACCAGUAGGAACUGCCAAGCCGCCAGUGCGAACAGCUGCUUAAAAUCUUGCGAGACGCUUGGCGAUGCUGUGGAUGAUCGAGUUCAGCCCAACAAUCAACAGUUACGGAAUGAGAGGAGCAGCAGCAGGGCAAGAAGGAUGCCGAUCAGGAUUUCUACUAAAACCAGGACAGUUCGGCCAACUCGUCGCAGUCCUCGGUGGGCAUUGAUGACUAUUGGGAUGAGGCUCUGGUCGGCGACUAUGGAAGCACUCAGAAUGAUGACAGCGAUGACUUGGAUGGGCACAACAACUAGCCACCUAUCGAUGGGCAGCAAGGAAAAGAACCCGGCCGCAACGAGUUGCGUUACUAUUGGCGAUCAAGAGAUCAUGGACUGCAAAGAACAAUUCGACAAGCAGCGGCAGGCAACAUUACUUGGGCCGAGCAGGGCAGUAAAUGUAAAAGUUGUUCUGCACUAUCUUAAAAGCGUGCUCCGGCGGUCUUAAGCCUUCUGCACCAUGUUUUACAUCAUCGGUUUCGACCGGGAGCGCAGACAGCUGGCCCCAAAGGAAACUCGCUACUCUUACUUGCGCCGCGGCAGAUCGAGCCAUGGAUGGAGUUCUAACACGGAUAGCUCUUGGCGAGACUCCUGACUGGAGAGGCAGUGGCACCAUUGGGCAUAACUGCCGCCACUGCCAAGUCACCAGUAGGAACUGCCAAGCCGCCAGUACGAACAGCUGCUUAAAAUCUUGCAAGACGCUUGGCGAUGCUGUGGAUGAUCGACUUCAGCCCAACAAUCAACCGUUGCGGAAUGAGAGGAGAAGCAGCAAGGCAAGAAGGAUGCCGAUCAGGAUUUCUACUAAAACCAGGACAGUUCGGCUAACUCGUCGCAGUCCUCGGUGGGCAUUGAUGACUAUUGGGAUGAGGCUCUGGUCGGCGACUAUGGAAGCACUCAGAAUGAUGACAGCGAUGACUUGGAUGGGCACAACAACUAGCCACCUAUCGAUGGGCAGCAAGGAAAAGAACCCGGCCGCAACGAGUUGCGUUACUAUUGGCGAUCAAGAGAUCAUGGACUGCAAAGAACAAUUCGACAAGCAGCGGCAGGCAACAUUACUUGGGCCGAGCAGGGCAGUAAAUGUAAAAGUUGUACAGCACUACCUUAAAAGCGUGCUCCGGCGGUCUUAAGCCUUCUGCACCAUGUUUUACAUCAUCGGUUUCGACCGGGAGCGCAGACAGCUGGCCCCGAAGGAAACUCGCUGCUCUUACUUGCGCCGCGGCAGAUCGAGCCAUGGAUGGAGUUCUAACACGGAUAGCUCUUGGCGAGACUCCUGACUGCAGAGGCAGUGGCACCAUUGGGCAUAACUGCCGCCACUGCCAAGUCACCAGUAGGAACUGCCAAGCCGCCAGUACGAACAGCUGCUUAAAAUCUUGCAAGACGCUUGGCGAUGCUGUGGAUGAUCGACUUCAGCCCAACAAUCAACCGUUGCGGAAUGAGAGGAGAAGCAGCAAGGCAAGAAGGAUGCCGAUCAGGAUUUCUACUAAAACCAGGACAGUUCGGCUAACUCGUCGCAGUCCUCGGUGGGCAUUGAUGACUAUUGGGAUGAGGCUCUGGUCGACGACUAUGGAAGCACUCAGAAUGAUGACAGCGAUGACUUGGAUGGUCACAACAACUAGCCACCUAUCGAUGGGCAGCAAGGAAAAGAACCCGGCCGCAACGAGUUGCGUUACUAUUGGCGAUCAAGAGAUCAUGGACUGCAAAGAACAAUUCGACAAGCAGCGGCAGGCAACAUUACUUGGGCCGAGCAGGGCAGUAAAUGUAAAAGUUGUACAGCACUACCUUAAAAGCGUGCUCCGGCGGUCUUAAGCCUUCUGCACCAUGUUUUACAUCAUCGGUUUCGACCGGCUCCAGUGGCCAAAAAAGUGCUAUAGAGCGAUCCCCUCUUCUUACCCCACCAGGAGGUCACCCCCUCCGGUGGCCAUGAAUACCUCUUGCAUGCCCGUGGAUACCGAAUUACCCACCAUCGUUUAACUGGGGCUUCACACUUCAGGUCCUCCGGUUUAGCUGAACGAGUGGGCGCUCGAUGACGGCUGUCCACUCCAGGCGCCUACCGGCUGACAUCGCGAGCUCCCCACCGGCUCUUGGGACAUGACUUACAUCGCGCGAGCUGUGGCCUCUAGCCUGGACGACCUUUGGGUCCUCUCGGGAUGUGUAAGGGAUGUGCUCCUGGCUGGACUGUGGCAGGCACUGUCUGUCCUCCUGCGGGCCAAAGCCAUGAUGCCACUACUGUGUCGCUGAAUCGACAAUGUGGCGUCCCGUCCGCUGCAGCAGGGACCACUGAUCGACGGCAGAAUUGAGGGUUCACGCCCACGGUAAUCAAACGCUGGUCUUCAGCCUCGAGGCGCAGGGCUUAUGUACCCUAUCCAAGCAUUACCGAAUCGUAUCCCAGCAGGACAAAAGCGCACCCCUUGCAAGAGCCCAAAUCUAACAAGCCGACGUCACAUUUCGACCUGGCCAUUGAAAACUAUCUCAAGGACUUUGGCUAUGGCAACCAAGGAUACGCGGACUAUCAGACUAUAGAUAGAUCUCGUUGUUAAUAGGUUUAAGGAUACACACGUCUGUACAUUUAGAUAGUAGAUAUAAAUAUUUCCAAAUUGUUAAUUUCUUUAUAGUAAGUUAACGUUAUGAUGAAUAAAACUAUUGAAAAAUUA